rnacentral:rRNA from 1 species
UACGGGGGGGGCAAGCGUUGUUCGGAAUUACUGGGCGUAAAGGGCGCGUAGGCGGUUUGCUAAGUUGAAUGUGAAAACUCUGGGCUUAACCCAGAGCCUGCAUUCAAUACUGGCAGGCUAGAGUUCUGGAGGGGAUAGCGGAAUUCCUGGUGUAGCGGUGAAAUGCGUAGAUAUCAGGAGGAACACCGGUGGCGAAGGCGGCUAUCUGGACAGAGUCUGACGCUGAGGCGCGAAAGCUAGGGGAGCAAAC